GAGUUUGAUCGUGGCUCAGGAUGAACGCUGGCGGCGUGCCUAACGCAUGCAAGUCGAACGAAGCACUUUAUUCGAUUUUCUUCGGAGAUGAAGAUUUUGUGACUGAGUGGCGGACGGGUGAGUAACGCGUGGAUAACCUGCCUCAUACAGGGGGAUAACAGUUAGAAAUGACUGCUAAUACCGCAUAAGCGCACAGCACCGCAUGGUGCAGUGUGAAAAACUCCGGUGGUAUGAGAUGGAUCCGCGUCUGAUUAGCCAGUUGGCGGGUAACGGCCCACCAAAGCGACGAUCAGUAGCCGACCUGA
rnacentral:rRNA from 1 species